CGAACGCACCGUCCUGCCGCCUCCUGCCGCGGACACCCGGGCGGCUCUCCCGUCUCAGAUUCUCUGACUGCAGAGCCCACAGAUUGUUUUGAUGCUUUAGAAACAAAGACCAUGAGUCAUGGCAGAACACAAGGUCUUGGAUUCUGUGGGAUACAUGGCCCAAAGCAAUCAUUCCAUCAAUGCCAAGCAGCAUGGAGGUCACAUGGGAGAAGGCCUUUGCCAGGCCAAAUUUUGGGAGUGGACUGUUGGUUUGGCCCUUGCAGAGGAGCAUCUCAUGCAGAUACAUCUGCCUGCACCUGUAAACUGAGCCAGGGGAUGGAGAGGGUCCAUCACCUCCUCUUAGACCUUCCCUAUUUCCACACAAAGACAUUUUUGGUGAGCUUCUACUCCUUUUUUUAUACUAAAAAGGAAAGAAAAGAGGAAGAUACGCACUUGAUGUUAAGGAAAUCUAACAGAGCAUGCAGCAAUCCAACUGCGCAGACACAUAUGCCUCCUUCCUUCUGCUCCGUACCAGCGAGGCUGUGCCAUAUUUAGAUCUGGCUCCAUCUCUCACAAACUUGACCAACUGUUCUUCCACAGUGUCAUCUCUGCUUGUUUGCUUGUUUACCC
rnacentral:lncRNA from 1 species